rnacentral:rRNA from 1 species
GACGUAGGGGACGAGCGUUGUCCGGAUUUAUUGGGCGUAAAGCGUGCGCAGGCGGCGCGUUAAGACAGGUGUGAAAGCCCCGAGCUUAACUUGGGAAUUGCGCUUGUGACUGGCGUGCUGGAGUGUGGCAGAGGGAGAUGGAAUUCCACGUGUAGCAGUGAAAUGCGUAGAGAUGUGGAGGAACACCGAUGGCGAAGGCAGCCUCCUGGGCCAGCACUGACGCUCAUGCACGAAAGCGUGGGGAGCAAACAGG